rnacentral:rRNA from 1 species
AGGACGAACGCUUGCGGCGUGCCUAAGAAAUGCAAGUCGAACGGAUGCGGUAAUGUGUCAGUGGCGAACGGUCGCGUAACACGUAAGAAACCUGCCUCGAAGUGGGGGACAACAUGGCGAAAGUUGUGCUAAUACCGCAUGUGGUCAUUUGGUGGCAUCACCUUGUGUCUAAAGCUUAAUGCGCUUCGAGAUGGUCUUGCGGCCUAUCAGAUAGUUGGUGGGGUAACGGCCUACCAAGUCUUUGACGGGUAGCUGGUCUGAGAGGACGAUCAGCCGGAUUGGGACUGAGAUACGGCCCAGACUCCUACGGGGGGCAGCAGUGGGGAAUAUUGGACAAUGGGCGCAAGCCUGAUCCAGCCAUGCCGCGUGGAUGAUGAAGGCCUUAGGGUUGUAAAGUCCUUUUAACGGGGAAGAUAAUGACGGUACCCGUAGAAUAAGCCCCGGCUAACUUCGUGCCAGCAGCCGC